UCAGUGCCUGUCCCCAGGGCGCUGUCCCCGUGCCAGGGCGGUGACAUUCCCGGCCGGGGCUGGCCCUGGGGACAUGCGACAGCAGCUGGCCGAGCGCGAGCAGGCGCUGCAGCUGGCGCGGGACACGAUCCAGAUCCUGCAGGCCAAGGUGGGGCGGCUGGAGCAGCUCCUGCUCCUCAAAAAUCUCCGCAUCGACGACCUGAGCCGGCGGCUGCAGCAGCUGCAGGGCCACCGCCGCUGACAGGCGACAGCGACAGCAGCGACACCGCGGUGGCACCGGGGGACAGCCCGGGGGCUCCCAGUGGCUCCCAGCGCGUCCCAGUUCGCCCAGCGCCCGGCGCGGCUCCGGCGCUGGGAAUUAAAGUGUUGGAUCCUGG